rnacentral:rRNA from 1 species
UACGAGGGGGGCGAGCGUUGUUCGGAAUUACUGGGCGUAAAGCGCGCGCAGGCGGCCCGCGAGGUGUCACGUGAAAGCCCCGGGCUCAACCCGGGAGGGUCGUGGCAAACCGGCGGGCUUGAGGCCGGUAGAGGUGGGUGGAACUCCUGGUGGAGUGGUGAAAUGCGUAGAGAUCAGGAAGAACACCCGUGGCGAAGGCGGCCCACUGGGCCGGUACUGACGCUGAGGCGCGAAGGCGUGGGGAGCGAACGGG